rnacentral:rRNA from 1 species
GCAGGCCUACGGGACGCAGCAGUGAGGAAUAUUGGUCAAUGGGCGGAAGCCUGAACCAGCCAAGUCGCGUGAGGGAAGAAGGCCCUGCGGGUCGCAGACCUCUUUGGACGGGGAGCAAGGCCGCCGACGUGUCGGCGGAAGGAGAGUACCCGUAGAACAAGCAUCGGCUAACUCCGUGCCAGCAGCCGCGGUAAUACGUAGGUGGCGAGCGUUAUCCGGAAUGAUUGGGCGUAAAGGGUGCGCAGGCGGUCCUGCAAGUCUGGAGUGAAACGCAUGAGCUC